CAGCACCUCAAGUGGUCAGGAUGAUUAUUGGGCCUAAAGCAUCCGUAGCCGGCGCUGUAAGUUUUCGGUUAAAUCUGUACGCUCAACGUACAGGCUGCCGGGAAUACUGCAGCGCUAGGGAGUGGGAGAGGUAGACGGUACUCGGUAGGAAGGGGUAAAAUCCUUUGAUCUAUUGAUGACCACCUGUGGCGAAGGCGGUCUACCAGAACACGUCCGACGGUGAGGGAUGAAAGCUGGGGGAGCAAACCGGAUUAGAUACCCGAGUAGUUU
rnacentral:rRNA from 1 species